CAGUCGAGCGGCAGCGCGGGGGCAACCCUGGCGGCGAGCGGCGAACGGGUGAGUAAUGUAUCGGAACGUACCCAGUCGUGGGGGAUAACUAUCCGAAAGGAUAGCUAAUACCGCAUACGUCCUGAGGGAGAAAGCGGGGGACCGUAAGGCCUCGCGCGAUUGGAGCGGCCGAUAUCGGAUUAGCUAGUUGGUGAGGUAAAGGCUCACCAAGGCGACGAUCCGUAGCUGGUCUGAGAGGACGACCAGCCACACUGGAACUGAGACACGGUCCAGACUCCUACGGGAGGCAGCAGUGGGGAAUUUUGGACAAUGGGGGCAACCCUGAUCCAGCCAUUCCGCGUGAGUGAAGAAGGCCUUCGGGUUGUAAAGCUCUUUCAGCAGGAACGAAACGGUGGUCCCUAAUACGGGCUACUAAUGACGGUACCUGAAGAAGAAGCACCGGCUAACUACGUGCCAGCAGCCGCGGUAAUACGUAGGGUGCGAGCGUUAAUCGGAAUUACUGGGCGUAAAGCGUGCGCAGGCGGUUAUAUAAGACAGAUGUGAAAUCCCCGGGCUUAACCUGGGAACUGCGUUUGUGACUGUAUAACUCGAGUGUGGCAGAGGGGGGUGGAAUUCCACGUGUAGCAGUGAAAUGCGUAGAGAUGUGGAGGAACACCGAUGGCGAAGGCAGCCCCCUGGGUCAACACUGACGCUCAUGCACGAAAGCGUGGGGAGCAAACAGGAU
rnacentral:rRNA from 1 species